GCCACUGUUCCAGACUUCCAGCCACAGAACAGAAGCCCUAGCCAGCCAGUGCCACCAGCAUCUAAAGGAAAUGUGUUUUCAUGGAUUGCUGUUUGAUGUUAGAUGAAAUAGCCCUCAAUUGCCUGACCAAGAGACCAACCUGAACAUUCAAGCCACACUGUCCAAUACUUCAUUUGGCUGUCUGCCUGAUCUACUGCAACUCUGCACGAUUGCUGUUGGAUGUUAAAUGAAAUAGCCCUCAAUUGCCUGACCAAGAGACCAACCUGAACAUUCAAGCCACACUGUCCAAUACUUCAUUUGGCUGUCUGCCUGAUCUACUGCAACUCUGCACGAUUGCCGUUUGAUGUUAGAUGAAAUAGCCCUCAAUUGCCUGACCAAGAGACCAACCUGAA